rnacentral:rRNA from 1 species
CCUACGGGUGGCAGCAGUGGGGAAUAUUGGACAAUGGGCGAAAGCCUGAUCCAGCAAUGCCGCGUGGAUGAAGAAGGUCUUCGGAUUGUAAAGUCCUUUCGACGGGGACGAUGAUGACGGUACCCGUAGAAGAAGCCCCGGCUAACUUCGUGCCAGCAGCCGCGGUAAUACGAAGGGGGCUAGCGUUGCUCGGAAUGACUGGGCGUAAAGGGCGCGUAGGCGGUUUUCUUAGUUAGGCGUGAAAUUCCUGGGCUCAACCUGGGGGCUGCGCUUAAUACAGGGAGACUAGAGUGUGAGAGAGGGUUGUGGAAUUCCCAGUGUAGAGGUGAAAUUCGUAGAUAUUGGGAAGAACACCGGUGGCGAAGGCGGCAACCUGGCUCAUUACUGACGCUGAGGCGCGAAAGCGUGGGGAGCAAACAGGAUUAGAUACCCCUGUAGUC